rnacentral:rRNA from 1 species
UACGUAGGGGGCAAGCGUUGUCCGGAAUCAUUGGGCGUAAAGCGCGUGUAGGCGGCCAGAAAAGUCCGCUGUGAAAACUCGAGGCUCAACUUCGAGCUGUCGGUGGAAACUUUCUGGCUAGAGUCCGGAAGAGGAGAAUGGAAUUCCUGGUGUAGCGGUGAAAUGCGCAGAUAUCAGGAAGAACACCCGUGGCGAAGGCGGUUCUCUGGGACGGUACUGACGCUGAGAAGCGAAAGCGUGGGGAGCGAACAGG